AUUGAACGCUGGCGGCAUGCUUUACACAUGCAAGUCGGACGGCAGCACAGAGAAGCUUGCUUCUUGGGUGGCGAGUGGCGAACGGGUGAGUAACAUAUCGGAACGUACCGAGCAGUGGGGGAUAACUAAUCGAAAGAUUAGCUAAUACCGCAUAUUUUCUGAGGAAGAAAGCAGGGGACCAUUUGGCCUUGCGCUGUUUGAGCGGCCGAUAUCUGAUUAGCUAGUUGGUGGGGUAAAGGCCUACCAAGGCGACGAUCAGUAGCGGGUCUGAGAGGAUGAUCCGCCACACUGGGACUGAGACACGGCCCAGACUCCUACGGGAGGCAGCAGUGGGGAAUUUUGGACAAUGGGCGCAAGCCUGAUCCAGCCAUGCCGCGUGUCUGAAGAAGGCCUUCGGGUUGUAAAGGACUUUUGUCAGGGAAGAAAAGGGCGGGGUUAAUACCCCUGUCUGAUAACGGUACCUGAAGCAAUAA
rnacentral:rRNA from 1 species